rnacentral:ncRNA from 1 species
CCAAGGGGAGCUCACGCGAUAGCGGUGGGCUGAGAGGGCAGACGCGUCUGUCGACCCGCUGAACCUGAUCUGGGUAAUGCCAGCGCUAGGGAGGAA